UAGCAACAUAAUACCUUAGACACUGCUGCCCUGCUGUCAGCUGUGUAAAGUGAUCACUUGGAAGUGGGGACGGGACAAGCAGACACACAGACAGCCUCAUUUGCACCGGAACAGCCACAGAAAUAAAGCCUCACUGCCAUGUGAAAUGCAGAGCCAUGUCUGCUAAGAGGGACUCCACCGAGAUAUCAGAUGCAAGGUUCACAGGGCAAACGGAAACCUUCGGGUGAAUGGGGCUCCCUGGAAUUUCAUCAGGGGAGAAAGCCUGAAAACAU
rnacentral:lncRNA from 1 species